GGGGGGGGGGAGUCCAGUUUUCCUGCCGGCGAAACAAGACUAGCAACGUGUUGUCGAAGGCUUCCAUGGCCGGAAUCACUGCGUUGUUGUUGUGUCUUUUCCGGGCUGAGAAGCAUUCUCUCCUGACGUUUCUCCCACAUCUAUGGCAGGCAUCCUCAGAGGUUGCGAGGUCUGUUGGAAAACUAAGCAAGGGAGGUGUAUAUAUCUGUGGGAGAAAGAACUCUUGUCUUGCAAGGCCAUUGCAUGCUAAUCAAGGUGAUUAAUGACAACAUCCACACCUGCCUCCAACAGACAAGUGUUCUUUCUCCCACCCUGGACAUUAUUCCACAGAUAUAUAAACCUCCCUUGCCUAGUUCUCCAACAUACCUCACACCCUCUGAGGAUGCCUGCCAUAGAUGCGGGCGAAACGUCAGGAGAGAAUGCUUCUGGAACAUGGCCAUACAGCCCAGAAAAGGCGCAACGACCCAGGACUAGCAGCCCUCUCAGACUAGCAGCCCGACUGCCCUCCUUGGCCAGGAGCAGAGAGAGGCGCGCCGAGGUGCAGAGGCCCCCGCGGAUGGUGGAGCCCCGGUUGGGUUUCAUCCCCGAGCUGCACAAGUCUCUUGUGGCCCGGGCUUGUCGGGAAGGCCCCUCCGCUUGCAAAGAUCCUCCCCGAUGGGGUCGUAGAGGCCAGGCUUUCGAAAAACAGCCCCCAAAGGCACAUUACGGAUCAUUCAGCGACUCCUAUUCUCGCUCACUCUCCUUCCCGUGAUUCCGACGCUGGCUGUGCUGCACAUCCAAGAAGCGCCCGGCUCCUCUCCUGUCCUCCACCUGCGCAGUGGGUUAAACCCUUGUGCCCGCAGGACUGCUGACCGACAGCUGGGUGAGCUCCCGUUUGUCAGCUCCCGCUCCAGAUUCUAUGAAAGAAUGGAAUCCUUAUUAUAAUAUCUCUCUUCAGUUAUUAAAUAAUAUUCAUCUGGAGCAAUGGGUUAAACCCUUAAGCCGGCAGGACUGCUGACUUUAAGGUUGGGUUGCUAACCUGAAGGCUGCCAGCUUCGAAUCCAACCCAGGGAGAGCGUUGAUGAGCUCUCUCUAUCAGCUCCAGCUCCACGCCAGGGCAUGAGAGAAGCCUCCCACAAGGAUGGUAAAGCAUCAAACAUUGUUCUUGCAGACGGCCAAUUCUCUCACACCAGAAGCAACUUGCAAAGGCCUUACUGGUACUGUUAUGUUUAUUCAUAUCAUGAUCUAAUCACCAUGCUCAACAUAUCCCAUAUGCAGGGGGGAAUUGGGAUAACGAUACAAAAGGUUUGCUAGGGUAGAUCCCCUCUGACUCAGACUCAACCUCCCCCAAAUCAAAAUCCUGGCUAGCCCAUGCUUUCUUCCCUCUGGGAAUGUCACCAGCCAGGGGUCGGGAAGGAUGCUGCUGCUGCUCGGAGCGGCAGUUUGCUACUGCAUCGUCCGGAAAGGGCCGGGCACAAGGGAAGCCGCCAAAGCCCAGGUAGGUGCCGAACAGGUGGGCGCAGUGUGGCCGGCUCCCCAUGGAGCUUCCCUCAGCUCCCUUGCUCUUGUCCUAUUUAGAGCCCUCCAUCCCACAAACAGGGGUCCAUGCAGCAAUCUGUACCUGACAGAGGGAAAUGGGCUUGGUUGGGAUUGGCUUUUGAUCUAUCCCAAAGCCCUUUCAGGUCUGGGCAAAGAGCAUGAUGGCAAAUGGCACAGGCCCAAUGAAUGUGUCAAAUGAAAAGGUCUGUUUAGGGAACAGUCAGGGACAGGGCAGCAGAAGUGUGUCUGCUCUGGGGAAUCCAUGUCCUUUGGAAGACUUUCACGCCUCCCUUCGCCUGGAAAUGUAUUAAAAGAGCGAGGUAGGGGGUGAGGAAGAGAGAUCUAUUCAGAAGGCCUUUUCCUCAAAGUUCUAUACAAUGCAGCAAAAUGGAAAAGUAAAACGAAAAACAAUCUGAGCCAGCAGUUUCCCAAUUGCUCUGCCUUCGUCUUCCCCUCCUUUCCUGGCUUUCCCCUCAUUGGUUUCUUAUUUUUGGAAUGGGAAGCUGCCUGACUCUGCUUUUCGCUCAACUGUGUCAACACCAUGACACUGGGACUGUGGCAAAAAGGGUCCUCUCGGUUGUGAGAUCCUCACCAUGGAGGUGAUCUGCAGCCCAUCCUGCAGCUCUAGGCCUGGGGGUGAGGGACGCUGGUCUCCUGCCUUCUUCUGCAGAGCCUCCUCUGUUCUUCCACACAGCCUCAUAUCGCAGAAUAUCAAUGCAGAACAUCCCACAACAUCUGCUUUGAACUGGGAUAUCUGAGUCCACAUUGCCAUAUAUUCCAGUUCAAAGCAGAUAAUGUGGGAUUUUAUUCAGCUGUGUGGAAGGGGCCUACAAAUGAACUCAAAACUUGGUGUGUGUGUGUUUGAAGUAUCCUUUCUGGCAUUUAAAAGCCUUGACCUUCUUCUGUUUUGGGGGAGCUGGGGUGGUCUGUAUUGAAAGCCCUGGAAACAGUAUCUCCCCAACUUGCUCUUGAAGCUCCUGAAAGAAACAUGGUGCCAGAAGUGGUCUCUCCCACUGUUGCUCAGGUUUCCCAGAGCUUCAGAAAUGAUUGGAACUCAAUGCUCAUCUCUCCAAGUAUAUGUGAGGAAGCUAGAGAAGAUGAGGGACAAUUUGGAAGGAAAAGGGGGUUUGCUUGGGGUGAUGGGCUCUGAUGGUGAAGCACAAUUGCAUCAUAAAUCUCUAACCUGGGCUAUGUGUUCUCUGCAGUACAAGAGAGUGAAGGUUCUGCACCAAUGAAACCCCAUUGUGUCCCAAGGAGAGUUGAAUUCAUGAACUGGAUACAUUGAGCAAAUGUGAACACAUUUUGCAUUCUGUGGGCCAUUUCAGCUUUCCUCUUACUUCCGGCCACAUAUGUAGGGUUCUUACCAUUGUAAUGCCAGCUCAUUACCAUGGAGUCAUGCUUUCUGAUGGAUUCUGGGAGUCACAAUCCAAAAAGGAAAUUCUGCAAGUUCUGCUCUCUAACAUAACCUUAACUUGCCUGAAUAUAAGUUGGGAGCAAAAUAUAUCAGUAUUCAUAUUAACAGUGGUUAAAGCCAAUAGGGCUUCUUUUUAACCAGCUUGUCCAUAGCAUUGCCUCCACAGUUGUAGCUGUUUAAUGGCACUUUAUCAGCCAUGGGAUUUGUAGUUUGGUGGGAAUCUGAAAUAUGGAUACUGUAAAUUGCAGCAUUAUUGCUCUCACAAUAUGUGCUACACUCUUUAUAUACACUAGGAUAGCACCCUGACAGUUAAAGAUGGGUCAAAUUCUGGUUUCAGGUUCUGGCUAGAAUGAGAAUCUGGUUUGCCAUAGUACAGUAAUAGCUAACCUCUUGAGACAAGAGGCAGAGGUUUACUGUAAGGCAGUGGUUCUCAUCCUGUAGGUCCCCAGAUGUUUUGCCCUUCAACUCCCAGAAAUCCUAACAGCUGGUAAACUGACUGGGAUUUCUGGGAGUUGUAGGCCAAAAACAUCUGGGGAACCCCGGUUGAGAACCACUGCUGUAGGGAAUAAGCUUGCAACCUGCUGGCUAUUGAUAAUCAUAGUUAUGUCAUGGCCAUUAUGGUAUUUGUACACACUAACACAGAGUUCCCAAAAAUUUUUACUAGGCAGUGUCAAUGCACUCUCAAGGCCAGAGUUCCAGAUUUUGUAUAUGUAAUGUAGUGCAGUUGUGUAAUCACAUGGUAUACAACAAGGACAUGUUGUAAAGGGUGAGUUGGUCCUCCAUUGUGUUGCAGGGAUAAGAACAUCUUCCUUCUAAUCCAUUUGUUUGUAGGGAAUCAUUCUUACCCCAUCACUCAAAUUCCAGUACUUCAGUGCUGGAACAUAUUUUUUAUCUACUAUGUCAAUUGUGUUAGUAAAUACUAUAUGAAAGAUGUCUGAGUGUUGUGUAUUGGACAGUGCAUAUGCCACCUCAGGUAAUACCAGUUAUGAGUUUCCAUCUUCCAAAUAGGAGCCCCCAGUGGUGCUGUGGGUUUAACCCUUGUGCCAGCAGGACUUCUGACCAAAAGGUUAGUGGUUUGAAUCUGGGAAGCAUGGUGAGCUCCUGUCUGUCAGCUCCAGCUUCCCAUGCAGGCACAUAAGAGAAGCCUCCCACAGGAUGGUAACACAUCUGGAUGCCCCCCUGGCAAUGUCCUUGCAGAUGGUCAGUUCUCUCACACCAGAAGCCACUUGCAGUUUUUCAAGUUGCUCCUGAAAAAAAUCUUUAAAACACUUGUUAUUUUUUUUACUUUAGGAACAAACCAAUAUCAAGAGUUUUAAAGUCACUGGAUGUCAUAUAUAUAAACAAAUAAAAAGGGACUACAUGAAAGUUAUCUUGUAUUGUAGCUCACCUCCUUGAAUACUGCAGGAAUAAGAUAAUGAUGCUUGUAAAAGCUUUUUCCUCUGGCCUUACUAAACUUAUUGUCUACCGAUUGUGGUUCUGAUGUCAACACUGCAGCUGAAUCCAGCCACUGCUUGUUGCGUUUUGGCCUGUUUUGUAUCUCUCCCCAACUUCAUCAGGGAAUCUCAGGUCAACUUGAAUUGACUUUUCCCAGUUUAUUCUCACAACAAGCCUGUGAGGUAGUUAACACUGAGAGACAGUGACAAGCCUAAGGUCACCCAGCAAACACUGAGGUUGAACUCAGAUUUGAAUCAUAAACACUCUACCCACUGCAGCACAACACCGGUUCUUAAUAGACCGGCAAAUCCCAUCUUCUUGGGAAUAAGUGCCACAGAGAAUUGAAAGACUUGUGAGGACCUAACUUUAAUGAUAAAACUGGGGAUGGGGUGGGGUGCUCUCCUCUGGAAAUGUCCCAAGACUAUAUUGUAUUAUGUGGGUGUCCUAGGUUUCCAUGAGUCUUCAUCUGCAUGCAACUUCAUAUAGGAUUGCAGGCCCCACACAUGAAAUCUGGCAUCAGUCACAUAUUUACUUUCCUGGUACAUUUACCAUUUCAAUCAAAGAAUUGGCAAGAAGCAGAAUAGGGAGUCUAUAAGAAGACAUUUUUCAUAUUUCUUCAAAUAAUAGGCCUGCAUACCAGUUGAGCUAUGAGGUUUUGGUACAAAGUACAAAAGCUUUUGGCAGAGGACGAGGGCCAUACACAAAGCAUUGAAUAUGUGGUGGGAGAAUGAACCUGGGGAGAGUUGGAGAGAAGCCUAGAUUGCCCAUUAAGGACAGGAGUGGGGCUUAGAAUGGAAAGGGGGAUCGAAAUGUCUUGGAGUGGUGUAAGUACCCACAGCUACAGCUGGAGAUCCUGGAUAGAAGUGAUUAUUACCUUACAAUGUGUUUGUAAAAGGAUGAGUUAUGGGACUGUGGGCUAGGACUGACGCACAUUGUGAGGGCUGAAUGUGGGAAGAUUUGUGUUUCAAGGAGAGCAAGUUGCAGAAGAAGAAACACCUUCCUUUGAGUUCCUCCCCUGAUGUGUUUGCCUGACUGGGGCUCUGGGUGGCCAUGUAGUUCCCUUCCUGGAGCUGUGCUGUGCCUGGAUCCCCUAGCAGCAAGCAGCCUGCUUGCCUUCUUUGCUCCUUCUCUUUGCCCUUGCAGGGUCCUUUAGCAAAGUGGCUUGUUCCGACUGAGUGAAGCCGCUGUUGCUUUGCACCACCACAGGCACUUUGCAGCCAGGCUCUCGCUUGCUCACGUUCCCUGCCUGCACGGUCUCUUUUGUCAUGAUGAUUACCUCUUCCCUCGGCUUGCUUAGAGCAGGGAAAUUUAGGGGCCAAGCAGUACUUCUCCUCCUGCUGCUGAUUUUCUUACAGAGCUGCAGUAGCUUUUCUUUUUGGGGUAGCGGAUAUUGGGGGGUGGGGGGAUAGAGCAGGCUAACCACUGGUUAGUCCUUCUGCUGCAGCCAAGCUGAUGAUGCCUUGUGAAGCUGUGGGAAGAAGGCAGCUUUGUCUUUGGUGCAAGAAGUGUAACUGAGCAGGGGGGUUGCCAGCUGGCUAGCUGGAGAUCACGCAGCAAGGCCAAAUUAGUUCCAGUGCAGUAGGACCACACUGUCCUAUGAGCUGACAACAGAGAGGGGCCAAGAGGACGUUUGCUCGGUCCCUCCUUUUCUGUGUGUGCUGCUCUUUUGAGGCCCUGAAAGGGAUGUUGUACUGUGACAUUUAUAUUGCAGUUGGGAAGGGGUUUACAUGACAUCACCAUAUGGCAACAAUAAGUACAUGGCUUAGAACAAGGGUGGGAAACAUAUAUCUCCAGACGCAAGUCUCAGCAGUUCUAUCCGGAAUAGCCAGAUAUAAGACUCGCUAGGAGUUUUGCAGUCCAGAAGCAUCAGAGGGCAUCAGAACCUUCACCUAGGACAUAAAAUCUUUGUGGAGUCAGGGAGAUGAGGGCUUUGAGACCUGACUUCACUUGGGCUGAUACAAGAUUGGCUCUAUUAUUAAGGUAACCAGCUGCAGGAGACACAAACAGCACAAACACACACACAUGAACACACACACACAGCUCAAUCAUUCUGAUCUCCCCCAGCCAUUCCAUUCUGCUGAAGGACAGAACUCUGUGCAAAACUUGCUGCCUGCUGCCUUCUAGUGUGGUAGAAAUCAUCCCAUCACCUGUGUUAAAGUAACAUUCAACAAGCUUUCAAGCUUGUUUGGUUUUUUUGCUUUUAAUGUGGAAUGGAUGGGUUGGGAUGCAUGGUCAGCAUCCUCCAAUUUUGGCUUUUGCCUCAAAGAGAAGAAAGUCUAGAACUUGCUGCAUUUGCAACCAUGUGGGUCGAGAGAGCCACAGGCCUGAGAUGGAUCUGGGAGUGAAGGAGGCAGAUUUUGUAGAUCAUGGUGAUUGUAACUGAAGCAUCAGUUGAGAAAGGUGUAUCUCCUCCCUAUUCCACCAGCCUUUGGGCCUCUCUUGUACUAUUUAUAUUGUUGCCUAGUUGCUUUCCAUGUGGAAGGAGAAACAGGAGAAGGGCAUUUGUGAUGUAAAUGAGCAUCAUGGUCAGUACAGUUUUAUGUUCACAUUUCAAAUCUGGUUCAGAUCAUUAUGUUGUUAUUUGCCAUCAAGUUGGCUUUGAGUUGUCAAAACCCUAUGAAUGGGAGACCUCCAAGUGCCCUGGUGAGCAACAGUCCUGCUCAGGUCUUGGCAGCUCAAAGCAGUGGCUUCCUUUAUUUAAUCAAUCAUCCAUAAUGUAACCUUUAUUUCCUACUGCCUUUCACUUUAAUGAGUAUUAUUGCCUUUUCAAGUGAGUCAUACCCUGAAGGCACCAAUUCUUGUCUCUCAGUGGAAAUUAGGCAGGAUCAGUCCUGGUUAGUACUUGGAUGGGAGAUGGCCAACAAAAACCAGGUGCUAUAGGCUAUAUUUCGGAAGAAAGAACUGGCAAAAUGACCUCUGAGUAUUCCUUGUUUAAGAAGACCCUAUGAAAUUAAUAGGGUCACCUUAAAUGAACAGGCAACUUGAAGGUGUGUGCACACACAUAUGGUGAUAUGUCCAAAGUACAAACAACCUUAGUUUAGUCCUUUUGGGUUCUACUGAGUCUUUGCUUAAUUUAUUUGGCAGUUCAUCAUAUCCAUAGAAUGAUGUACCACCAUACAAAUGAGUUGAUUCAAUGAUAGAUGCCAUUGAAACCACUUUCAGAGCCAAGCUACAUAUUGCAUAGACACAUACAUACUGAAACACAACUUCCUCUUAAAUGGAAUGGAAGAGCAGCAUGGCACACUCUGUUCUGGCUGAUGUCAGAGAGAGCAUUGGUUGCUAAGGUGGCUGGGGUAAGGAGGAAAUCUCCCCUUUGCCAUAUCCAACCACCUUAGCAAGGCCACAGUCUGGCUGAUGAGCCAGGAAUAGGUAAGUGAGUGGGUCAUGGCUGGGAACAGCACUAUACGGGGUUAGGGGACCGCCAUUCCACAUUCCCCGAACUGCCUUAGCCCAAGGAGCAUGGGAUGGCUCUCAAGACAGCUGUGACCAGUUCCGAUUAGGAACUGGACCAGCUGUCUUGAAUCCCCUAACUCGGGACACCCCGAAACCUGUGCCAGGAUUUGGAUUUCCUCCCAAGUUGGCUUAAUCUGGGAGAAAGUUGCUUUAAGGCAGUGGUUCUCAACCUAUAAGUCUCCAGAUGUUUUGGCCUACAACUCCCAGAAAUUCCAGUCAGUUUACCAGCUGUUAGGAUAACAUCUGGGGACUCUUAGGUUGAGAACCACUGUUUUAAGGGAAGGGAGGGUGAAUUUACAGGGGAACGAUAGGAGAAAGGUUGCCUAUGAGCUCACAGGGCAUUCUCGAUCUUUUCAUAGGAUUGAAAAGCUUGGAAAGCUUGAGCCUAUGUAUCAGAAAUCUCUUUCCCCAGUCUAACUGGACUGCUGCAAUUCCCAUCAGCCUCAUCCAGCAUAUCCAUGUCAAUAAUAUAAGUUGAAUUGAACACAUUUAGAGAAAGGAGCACUAUGUUGGGGAAUGAUGACGGGAAACUUGAAAACUCCCUUGGGAUCACCAGAAAGUGUUAACUGUCACACAUAUGUUUUUAAUGCUAAAAAACUGACAAUGACAUUCAUUUCCCAAUUUAGCCCUCAUGUAGGGAACACAUAGAGUUUAGAAUAACCACUGGAUGUGACGAUCUGCAGAGGAGUUUCAUAUCUGUUUGGUAGCAUGUGAUGACAUUUGCUUGUCUGUGCCAAUCUCUUAAAAGCCUAAAGUAGUAGCCUGGGAGUUGGAACAUAAUCUGGCAGUCUCUUUCCCUAUCACACUAACCACAUUGACCUUAUAUCUGAUGGUGAAAGUAAUACUAUAAAAAGGUCAACUAUUUUAGUAUUUGUUUUUCUUUCAAAGUAUCUGCAAAAGACUCCCUUUCGAAGUAUGUGUAAAACAAUGAAAGGUUAAGAUAUUUUAGGUGAAGAGUCCAUAAAACACCAUUGCUAGAGUGCUUUGGUACUGCUCCAUGCAUACUAAUAUUGGCCUCAGUUAACCUCUUGCAAGUUUAUCUUAAUGGCUGGUUUUCUGUGGCUUGGGAACAGCGAUUUUUCUAUCACAGGGGAGGGUCUUUUGUUACUCUCUGAGCACUGGUGCUCUACAGUUCCCAUCAUCGUUAGCCAGUAUAGCCAAUGAUGAAGAAUGAUGUGAAUUUUAAUUCAAAAAUAGCUGGAAAGCCCUUUGUCUCUAAGCUACAGACUUUAGGUCAGAGCCUCUGGUAUUGUAGAUGUGAUCUGACUAUAAAUUCACUCAUCACCAACCGCACAUUGACCAUACCAAUUGGGUUGAAGGCAUCCACCAAUAUCUGAGGGCCCAUACAGAUUCCCCCAUGCUAACUGUGGAUCACCUUGCCAAAAAAAGCACUUGGGUCAGCCCAGGUUUUGGGUGUCUCUUGGUUGGAAUGAUUUGUGAUUAUUUCCUCUCUUACAAUUGUCAUUCAUAGAUGUGCUUUUGAAAUCUACUCUUCUGCCAAAUCAAGCAGGGCAGGUAUUUUUACCCAGUGGCAGCUAUCAUACAAUCUCUCCCGGAAUUGGCACAGUGCUACUGGCAGUGGAUUCUAUAAUUUCCCCAUCAAUACAUAGCAUUGUUCCUCCACUCUUUUCUUGGCUUGAUUGUUCCUUUUAUCUGCAAGAUUUCAUAUAACUUGGGACUGGGUUUUGCCAUAUCAAUAACAUACUUGAUGAUGGAAGCAGAUCCCAUCUGCAGGACCAUGUCCUCUACUGCCCGGGCACCAGAACACUUUCCCACAGAUGUGUAUGGCUUCUCUGUUAAAACUGAGCAAAGCACGAGGGUUGUGCGACUGUGUAGCCUUUUGAACCACACUGUUGAUAUGGUCCACAGGGAACUCUCCGUCACCUGCACUUCCCCACCCAAUGUGCUGGUAUGGAAAGAUUAAUAAUUUUCUUGGGUACUGUAUGUGAUGAAAAUCUUGUUUUUAAAAGGAGAGCACAAAUGUACCUGAAAAGAGGAAUUGCAGUACACAUUUUCCCUUGCUGAGUGUGAUGCUUUCUCAGUGCAAGUAAUGGGGCAUGUUUGCCUUUCCUUCAGUGUAAGGUAAAGGUAAAGGUUUCCCCUGACAUUAAGUCUAGUCGUGUCCAACUCUGGGGAGUUGGUGCUCAUCUCCAUUUCUAAGCUGAGGAGCCAGUGUUGCCUGUAGACACCUCCUAGGUCAUGUGGCCAGCAUGACCGUUAACUUCCCGCAGAAGUGGUACUUGUUGAUCUACUCACAUUUGCAUGUUUUCGAACUACUAGGUUGGCAGAAACUGGGGCUACUAGCGGGAGCUCACUCUACUCCAGAUUCGAACCAGCAACCUUUCAGUCCGCAAGUUCAGCAAAUCAGCGGUUUAAGCCUCUGUGCCACCAGGGGUUCCUCUUUCAGUGUAUCCACCUUAAUUUUGUUUGGUGUGACAUCAGGCUUGGUGCAAAGCUUGGGAAAUUGACAAGAACCCCCUCAAAUUUAUUAAUGCAGUUUCCCCAUUUUGCUAUUUUGUUAAUAAGCAUUGUGGGGAGAGGUCACAAAAUGGUCCAUGACAGAAUGAAUACAAACCACACAGUACUGUACACAUGCAACUUCUAAAUAAGGCAGAGUUGACUUUUUCUGAACUUCAAGAGGAAAUUGUUUAAGUGAAUGCAGUACAGUGCAUUCCUUCAGGUUCUCCCAUUCCUCAAAGGUAUUGCAUUUUUGUAUAAAUCUUAAAAAUGCAUGCAGUUUAUUUUGACAAAUUGGGUUAGUAUGGCUCUCACAAGCAGCUUGGAAUUUUCAGCUUAGCUUCUGCAAUGUUUAUCUUGCAGAAGCUAAUUGCAAACAGUGUUAUAUCAAGAAGGAAUAAGAACAGUUCAACUUUAGAUGCGAUGAUGAACUUCUAGGGCCCUGGUUCAUAAUCAGUAUUUUGAGGUAGUAUAGUUUAUGCUCUACAUUCACUGGAGUAAGGAGCAUGGGACCCUUGUGAAAAUGAAAAAAAAAAAAAAAGAUCAGACUGUUUGGGGGGGGUGUGUGUUUCAGACUAUAAUUUGAAAAAAAAGAAUGAAUUCCCAUACACACCACACAUAUCAUAUCUGUAGUGCAAAAAACAUGAAAAACUAUACAUUAUUUAAAAUGAAGAACAAUGUUAACCAACAUACACUUGCUGGUAUUUUAAUUGGAAGUGUGGGUCUGCUUUUGGCUGAUGAGUUAGUGAACUUAAUUUGAAUUUUUGUUGCUGUGUUCAUUUAAGUCGUUUCAGACUCAGGGUGACUUUAAGUCUAAGGUUCAGGGCAGGGACUGGGUUAUUGACCUUGGAGGGCUGCAUCCGGCCUGUGUGCCUUAGUCUGGGGGAUACCAUAUCUACAGAUUCGUUUACACAUGUUAUCUCUACAAAUCUCUAGGCCAGUGGUUCCCAAACUUAUUUGGCCUGCCGCCCCCUUUCCAGAAAAAAUAUGACUCAUGGGCGGCUAGGACUGGGAUGGGUGGAGUUACGAGCUCUGAGGCAGGGCAGAGCUUCUAUCCCUGUCCUGCGGCACCUGCCAGGACACAGGGGGCGGGGCUAGAGGAGGGGUUGGGGCCUCUUCCCGAGUGCCUGACGGGUCUGAACCUCUCUACCCCGCCCCCGUGUUCUAACAAGCACCUCAGAGGAGGUAUACAGAGGCUCAGCCCUGUCUCGCGCUCUUUGGAAGAGGCCCCGCCCCCACCCCACCACAGCCCUUUGGUCCUAAAAGGCCUCUCAGGAGAGGUAUAGAGGCUCAGCCCUGUCUCGGGCUCUUGGAAGGAGGCCCUGCCCCCUUCCCUAGCUCCACCCUCUGUGUCCAACAAGCGCCUCAGGAGAGGUAUAGAGGCUCAGCCCUGUCUCAUGCUCUUGGGAAGAAGCCACGCCCACUCCUCUAGCUCCGCCCCCUGUGUGUCCUAACAGGCGCCUCAGGUGCUCAGCCCUGUCUCCAGCACUUGGGAAGAGGCCCCACCCCUCCUCUGGCCCUGCCCCCGUGUCCUAAUAGGUGCCAUCACCGCCCCCCUGGAUCACUCCAGUGCCCACCAGGGGGCAGUAGCGCCCACUUUGGGAAUCACUUCCCUAGGGCCUUCCAAUGUUGCUUUGUGAACAACAUCUGGAGAAAGUUGACCAUAGAGUUGGACUGAAGGGCUUAGAGAUUCUGAAGAAAAUGUUUUAAUCAAAUGCAUGAAUAAUCAAAUCAUCCAAAGUCACAUCUGCAAAUGUGGAGAGCUGUCUGUAAUAGUAUCACUUCUAACCAAUGGGCAUAAAAAUAGCUCAGAGUGUCGUGUGGGAGUGAUUGUUCUUCAUUGCAGAAAAAAGGUGGAAGGAAAGGGGAAAGAUGGCAGGUGAGCUUGGAAUACCCACAAAGUUGAUGCCACUCCUAAAAAUGAUAGAACUCCUCCAGUCAUCCAUUCUUUGUUAUGGAUGAAUUGGUCGUGUUGCCCAUGGUGAGCUCUUUGGCAAGCCUUGAUCCCAGAUCUUUAGCAUAAACUUUCCUGACAUUGUUCAUUUUGUUUUUCUCUGCAAAUCAGCUGCCAAGGGGGAUUAGCAUCAAAACUUGGCUCAGAUACCUUUCUUGGAACAGGUAUCUUUGCUUAUGUGAUCCCUGUGUGCAUGACAGUCAAUAGUUGGGCACUCAUUUGGCUAUGUGCCUGGGAUUUCCUUGAGGGGUGGGGUAGGGGGGAAUAGUGUUUACCUUGUCACUUUCAUUGGCUUUUAAUUAAGAAUCAGAGCAGAGUAGAUUUACGUAAGUGACACUGUUUGUCUCUAGGGCCUGUGAGAGAGACUUGCAUUUAGUGGAGUUUCCACAACAUGGGGCCUUUCAGAUGUGUUGGACUGCAAUCCUCUUUAUCUAUACCUACUAGUUGGGGAUGAUGGAGUUAUAGUGCAAGACAUCUGGAGUGCACCUUAUUUGAGAAGUCUGGUUUAGUGGCUCUCUCCCAGUGCCCCCUUAGAAUCAUAAAGUUGGAAGAGACCACAAAAGCCAUCCAAUCCAACCCUCCCACCAUGCAGGAAUGACCAGUCAAAGCUUGCUUUCUUUGGGAUGAUUCUGCUUCCAAGGGACCCUUAUGUAGAGUCUACACCAAGGCUUUAGCUCUUUUCUUUCAUGCCUGAGCCCAGCUUCUUGCCUCUGUCUUUUAGGUCUUGGUCUUUUAUUAUCCUAAGAGAAGAAAGGGCAUAUCUUCCACACACACCUGCAGGAGUGGAUAUUCCCCCUAGAGCUCAGGGCUGUCUGCUUAACACCUUGAAACCUGAGCAAUAUGAUCAUGAAGCCAUUGUGACAAAUGUCAUAAAGUGAAGCAAGAAAACCAGGUAACCUACUGGGUCAUCUCCAUUAGCCAAGGGAAAGGAGCAUCUUAUAUUGAGGGGAACAUUAGGCAAUCCUCUGUAUUUAUAGAUUAGAUGGCAUUGCUUCCAAUGCCUUCUGUUACUUUGAUUCACUUCUGCCUUCCAUAGUUUGUGGCUUGUCUCACUUGCUCAAGUUUCUUGGGAAGUAUUUACUUGGCUCCUGCUGUUAUGUGGCACACUGUGGUUGAUGGCAUGAAAUACUGACCAUUUUGUGUCAAAAGAGGUUGGUUUAGCUGCCCAUUUUAACUAUUGCUUCUAAGAGCGAACAACCUGAAGGUAUAAAAAAAAGCUUAUGCGAGACUGAGUGAAUGUGUGUGCUUCAAAUCACCUGUUGAUUUAUAACCACAUGAAUUCCAUAGUGUUUUCAUAGGCAAGGAACUGAUUACAUGUAGUUUUCCAUUGCCUUUGAUGGUCUUCUAUCCAAGAAUGAACUGGGCUCGACCUUGCUUCACUUCUAAGAUUACAUGGAAUUUGGUGCCUUCUGGGCACUUAGGCUUCAGGAUUCCAUUAAAAAUCCAAACAAACACAGGAAAACCAGUCUGUGAGUAUAGAUCAGUGGUUCUCAACCUGUGGAUCCCCAGAUGUUUUGGCCUUCACUCCCAGAAAUCCUAACAGCUGGAAAACCAGCUGGGAUUUCUGAGAGCUGUAGGCCAAAACACCUGGGGACCCACAGGUUGAGAACCACUGGUAUAGAGUAUAUAGCGUGUGGUCAUUAGAGGUAUGCUUUAUUUUGGGGGGGCAGUCUAGAGAAUAAAACAGUGUGAAUAGUGGAAGGAUGGAUGUGAACAUCUGGCUUCUCUGUGUACCUGUCAGUUUGGUUAUGUUGUCUGUGGGAGUGUUAUGCUGACCACCAGGCACGAGAACAGGUGUAGGUUUUGUUUACAUGAUGCUGUCAUUUUGAUUGUCAUCAUUCCUACUGAGCAAAGCAAAUGAGGCCAGGCCCUGGUUCAGCCCUUAUAUCUGUCUUGCAGUACAGAUGGGACUGCGUCUCCUACCUUCCUGGCCAUCUGUAUGCAGUUAUAAUAAGUGACACCAUGUUGCAUACAAGUGUCUUUGGGUCACAGCCAGGAUGUGCUUUGGAACUGUUUUGAAAUGCACUGCCUGCCUUCGAAAUGUAUUGUAGCCUGAUUUACAGCAGGGAACCAAGUCUGAGUCUUUCACAGAAAAGAGAUCAAAUUAUAAUAAUUCCAUAAUUUUGAAAUUGUUUAUAUGUAAAUCUCAAUAGUUAACCAAGUCAUGUGUCCAGCUUCAGCCCAAACUGGAGAAAUCGAUUCAUCUAUUCAUCUGACUAGUUAUCCAAACAAUUGUCAAGAUCUGGGAUACAUCUUGGUUGCAUAGCAUAAAUCUCUGUAUGUGGAGUUUCCCCUUGAUUGUUCAUGCAAUUCCUGUAUUGGAACAGUUGCAGAACUAAAUACAUAUCUGAAUGUGCUACUAAGUUCACAGCUAAAUGGUCUGAGAGUCUUGUGUGCAUGAACAUCGGCAAAUGCUUCUGCAUGCACAACUUCUACUCUUGUCACCUUGAACAGAAUGCAGAUGUUCUGUGCUAGACAAAAUAUCUGUUUCUGUUGGGUGGUCUACACAUAUCUGGUACACCAGUAGGGCUAUGGCCAAUAUGUCCAGUUUUAGGCCAAUCCAGAAAAACAAAUAGAUGUAGUAUCUUUCAUUCAUGGGCAUGUAAGCAUGCCUACCUCUUAUUUAGUACCUCUGGGUAACCAUAACUAACCCUUCCAUUAAGAAUGAUGGCAAUCUCUGUCUGAAUGUAUAUUUAUAUGGAUGUUUUAACUUAAUUAAUUUUAAUUAUUAUUUAUUAUUAUUGUUGAAUGUAAUUGCAAUUGUUUUUAUACAUUUGUUUUAUACUUGGUUGUAAGCCGCCCUGAGUCCCCCCUAGGGGGUGAGAAGGGCGGGAUAGAAAUGUUGUAAUAAUAAAAGCCCAUAUCACUGGUUGCUUUGACCCCAACUACCCUCACCUACCCUUCCCUUUUACAAUGUAAAGGAACACCAAGAACAGGAAAUGUCCCCUGCAGCUCCUAGUGCAUUCCACAUAUGGAUUCCAUAUGCUCCCAUUAGCUUUUGUUCUUUCAUGGCCUCAAAUCAAAUCCAGGUGCAUGGAGAGGAGGCAGCUAUGCUCUGAGCUUUACCUUUCUUUCUGCUUGGAAGUACUACAACCACUAUACUAUAGGCCAGUGGUUCUCAACCUUUGGGUCCCCAGAUGUUUUGGCCUUCAACUCCCAGAAAUCCUAACAGUUGGUAAACUGGCUGGGGUUUUUUGGGAAUUGUAAGCCAAAACACCUGGGGACCCACAGGUUGAGAACCACUGCUAUAGGCCAUCACUUGUAGCCAAGUAUCAUUGUCUUCUAAGGGUAGAGUCUUGGUGAUAGGUACCUAGGUGACUGUGGAGAACUAUUUUGGAUCCACAUGGUUUGUCACAAUAAGGGCAUAGAUUUACAGAUGGAAGAUGGUCAUAACAAGGGUUUGCUUGAUGUACCUUCCUUGUGACACAUUUCUCCCUUUUGCCCUAUACUCAUAUCUCUUCCAAAUCAACAGCACUGCUGGUAACAGCUGACCUCCAGUUAGAACACUCAAAGGCCAUGGCUUUCCCGCCUUGAUGGUAAUAUUUACAUUAAUAUUUAGGACAGCAGUUAUUCCGGCACUCUAAGCAGAGUCUGGGAGAGCAGUGCCUCCCAAUUACAUCCAAAGUGGAUCAAUGGGUCUUGAUAAUAAGAAUAACAUUAAUAACAAUAGUACUCUGGGGAGACCCAAACGUUUUAAAAGUUGGUGGGCUAAAAGGGGUUGAAAUGCCCUCAGUGUGUGGCGAUUUUUACCCCUCUAGCCCAAAAACUGUGUGUGUGUGUGGGUGGGGGGGAUGAGCCUCAGAAGUACUCCCUUUGCAGCCAAUGGUCUGAAAAAUUUUGUUUUUUUUCCGUAAGCCAGAUGAAAAUUUGUGUCACAUAGGCAGCCCAUUUUUGUUAGCAGGACACAAAUACAAAAACGAGACAACACAAAUGAAACUACACAAAAUGAACAGCAAUUCUAUAUGAAUGCACACCUCUGUCCAGUAUGUGUUUUUGGCGCAUGGGCUGUGUGGAACAUCAUAAUGGUGGACCAAGCUGAGACCUCAGUAGCACAUAGGUUUCCUCAUUUCCCCCCAAGUAUCAUUUCUGAAGUUUCAGAAUUACAGAAAGUAUUGGGAAAACAUAAUUCAAUUGACAACUUCAUUCCAAGUCAAAUCAUUGGGUCUGCCUAGCCGCUCUGAGCCCCCUUCAAGGGAGAUAAAGCGGGGUAUAAAUAAAUAUAAUGAUGAUGAUGAUGGUGAUGAUUGGUCUGCUCUAGCCAUCUCCAAUUUAGUGUAUUCUCCAGAUAUUUUGAGGUACAAUUAGUUGAAAAAUGAAUGGAGGACAAUGGAUUAUUUUUAGUAAAAGGAUAGAAAGCCUAUAAAUGUUUUCCAGGAAGCAUGUCCCUACACAACCCAUGGCUUGUGAGCUGCACCUGUCUCCCUGUGUUUAUUGUGCAUCACUUUUCCCCCUCUUGUCACCCCAAAGCAGCCAUGAGAACUGCUUAUGCAGAAAAACAAUCAAACAAAUAUCAGUAAUCCAAUUUAAAAUUGCUCUCUGGGAAAUCCUGAUGGGGUGGCUCAGUCUUCACCUACACAUAGAAGACUAUUAGCAGCAAUCUGAUUAGGACCCUCUGAGCAAUUUUUGUGUAUCCAGUAUAAAGGUAAUAUUAAAGUCUCCUCUCUAAGGCACAGAAAACUCAAGGCUCCCCUCUACCCUGUCUGUAUAUGUAUACGUGUCAGCACCUUGAAAUUGAAAAAGUUCUUCUCUUCAGUAUUAAACUAUAGCUCUACCUUUUUAAUGAACAUAUUUAGAUUUUUGUUUUGUUUUAAAGGAGGACAAUAAUAGACUUUUAAAAUAGUAUCUGGGCAUAAUAGCUUCAGCCUGCAGGUAGGCUUGGUGCAACACGUGAGCUACAGACUUCAGCCUGCUUGGGACAUCAUGGACUGAUUGCUGCCCUAAGCAAAAUCAUAAAAAUAAAAUUGAUUAUUGAAGUAAAAUUCUAGGACACAUUCUGGUUCGGUUCUUCACUCAGCCAUCUAAGGGCUCUUCCAUACAGCCAUAUAAUCCAGAUUACCAAAACAGAAAAUCCCACAAUAUCUGCUUUGAACUGGGUUAUCUGAGUCCACACUGCCAUCUAUCGCAGUUCAAAGCAGAAAAUGUGGGAUUUUAUUCAGCUGUGUGCAAGGGGCCUAAAUCACUGAAUGGCUUUGGGCAGAUCACAUUCUCUCAGCCUCAGAGGAAGGCAAUGACAAGUCUCCUCUGAACAAAUCUUGGCAGAUAAAGUCCAUAAUAAUGUUGCAUUAGGGUUGCCAUAAAUCAGAACUGAUUUGAAGUUAUAGAACAAUGAUACAUUUCCUUCACAGAGCAUUUCACAGAAAAGAAUCCUGUUUUAGCAUUGUCCAUGAUGUGCCAGUUUUCUAUGUAACCAUAAAUAGGACCAAAGUGUUAGAUCUCAGGGGCAUAUUUGUCAUCCUACUAAGACAAUAAGAAAUUUUUAGUAUGGGAUUGACAGUAUCUGUGUGGAGGAUCAGAAUGCAAGCAAGUUAAUUUUAUUAUAUUUUAAUAGGAUUAAAAAUUAUAAUGCAAACUUACAUGGAAUCUGAUAUGAAUAAGAAUAAUGUAGAAUUAUUUUAACCUUCAUGCAUUAGAGUUAGAAAAAAAUCAUAAAGAAAAACAUCUCCCACCAUCUUCCAGAACAGCAAACCUUGGCUAAAUCACAAUCUCUUGACGUCAGAGUAAGACAAACACCCCCUGAACAAAUCUUGCCAGAAAAAACUCAUGAUACAAGCCUUAGGGUUUAAUGAUGAAUUUUAAACUUCCAUUCUAUGUCUAACUUUUGUAUUUUAUGGGAAUAUAUUUUAAAUGAUUACGUGUUUUGAUUAUGUGUUUUAGUAAUGUUGUAACCCGCCUCAAGCCUUGAGGAAAGGCGGGUAAGAAAUAAUGUUGUUGUUGUUGUUGUUGUUGUUGUUGUUGUUGUUCUUAGGGUUGCAAUAGUUGGAGGUUUUUGAUCCCUAGGAGAAUUGCAAUGCAUUGUAUAUGCAUGUUAAAGAGACAGGGUCAGGUUAAGGGGGAAAAUUUGCACCUCUUGUAUUGCAGGAUAUUUCGUGACUCCAGUUAGAUUUUCAGUGUCUCUCUUCCAAGUGGGAAAAAGUCGCUCUAAUGGGACCAAUGGACAGAUAAUCAAAGCAUGUGCCUUUGGCAUAAUUGCAUUAUGGUUCAUUGAAAAACUUCAUGGGAUAUUUUUGUUUGUUUUGUGUUUGAUAUUUUGGCACACAUAAACAAAUACCCGAAAGGGGGAAAACAGCAGAUUUGUUAGAACAAUAUUUUUGUUCUGGGUGAUCAUUUUUAAUUUUUUUUUUUUGCAAAAACUGAACUUGGCAAAGAACUGAAACUUGGGUACCCAGUUCAGGAGACACAGCUGAAGAAAAUCUACAUUGUAAGGUUGAUUCUGUGUGAAUUCUACAGCCACGUGUGACUCUGGAGGACUAAAGUACCUGUGGGUUAAAUAAAGACAUAAAUAAUAAACAUCAGCAAAUCUUCAGAACACUUAGGGCUCUGUGUACUCUGCUAUUCAAUAAAAAUAAAAGGUGGAUCUACACUGUUGAAUGAAUGAAGUUUGACAACAGUUUAACUGCCAUGGAUCAAUGCUAUCUAAUGUUGGGAAUUGUGGUUUUAUAAGAUCUUUAGUCUUAAUAAUAUAAUAUAAUAUAAUAUAAUAUAAUAUAAUAUAAUAUAAUAAUAACUUUAUUUUUAUAUCCCACCUCCAUCUCCCUGAAGGGACUCGGGGCCGCUUACAUGGUGAACAAGCCCAAUCUAACAGCAAUUAAAACCAACCAUAGAUUAAAACAUAACUCAAUAAAAUCAAUAACAUUACAAAAGACAAUAACAUAACAUAAAGCCUUCUCUGCCAAAGAGUUCUAGUACCUUACCAGACUACAACUCUCAUAACACUAUGUAACACAAUUUUUGUUCUUGAGUUAUAAAUGCAAUUUCCUAAUUGGUUCUAUCAUAAAAACAUGGAAAAGGUUUAUUAAAUUGCAAAAUCUUUGCAGGACAUCCUGCAGCACAUUUUGCUAUAGUUUUUCAAUGAAUAUCUUAUAGAGUCUCAACCAAUUUGAUAUAGUUUGUGCCAGCCACAAAAACGAAGUUUCUAGAGUAUAACAACUACUUUCAAAGUGAGUACUGCACAAUUAAACAGGAAAUAACACUUUCAAAAAGAACAGAUUUUUUUCCAAAUUUUGUUACAUAGUGUAAUUCCAUAGCAUUGGGCCAUAGCAGUUACAGUGUUGUUAAACUGCAUUAAUUCUACAGUGUAGAUGCACCUAUUGUCUCAUUCAAGGCAAAAACAUUUACUGGAUUAUGUGACGUAUGUACACGAUUAAUACAUAUUUUAUAUGUUUCAUUAUUUCUGUGGGAUUUUUGAGAAGACCAUCCCUUCUUGCCUUUAUCAUGCUUAUACCUAUGGUUUUCUCAGUGGCCCCACUUACACUUUUGGCUAUUCCCUGUUAGCCAGUUUGUGGACUGGGCUUCUGCUUCUCUUAUCAGGAUGCUGGUUCUGCUUUGUUCCUCAACUGCAGUUGCUUUGCUCCAAGAAUGUUGCAAGCAGUUACAUUUAUGUUGUCAGUGUAAUGGCUCAUGUGUAGGCGUAAAAUGUGUAGACUGGGGUCCUCUAGCAGCUCUUUAAAAUAAAAUAAAAAAAUGAGAUUGGUGCUUGUCUAGAAGUGCUUCCAAAUGAAGGACUUACAGUGCUAGAGAUCACAGCCAUUGUGGCACUCUCUGGUUCUGACUGCCUUUGGGAAAACAGAAGAAGCUUUGGGAAAGCUCUGGAACAUAAUAAAUGUAAGGCAGCAUUAUAAUAUAAAAUUCUAUGAAUGUGUUAAGGCAGUCAUAUGAUCAAACCUCAUCUGCAGAGCCUGGCCAAGGUUUUUUUUUAUCAUCUUAGCCAAAGGCCAAUAUGGUACUUCCACCACUCUAUGUACAGAAAUAGGCUGGACUGACAAAUGAAAUCUGAUACUGGCAAUAGGGAAGUGGUUUCCACGAUACUGUACUUGCAUGUAGCAGACUAGCAGAAGGGAUGCGGGAUAGGCCAUGUGAUACAGUUGUCCCCCCAUAUCCACAAAUUCUGUGUCAUGGAUUCAACUAUCAAUGGCUUGAAAAUAUGUUUUUUUUAAAAACCAAAAGUUUUAUAAUUUAUACAGAGGAUGACAUUUUACUGCACCAUUAUAUAUAAGGGGAGUAGUACAGUAGAGUCUCACUUAUCCAACACUCACUUAUCCAACAUUCUGGUUUAUCCAACCAAUUUUUGUAGUCAAUGUUUUCAACGAAUUGUGAUAUUUUGGUGCUAAAUUCGUAAAUACAGUCAUUACUACAUAGCAUUAAUGUGUAAUGAACUACUUUUUCUGUCAAAUUUGUUGUGUAACAUGAUGUUUUGGUGCUUAAUUUGUAAAAUCAUAACCUAUUUUGAUGUUUAAUAGGUUUUUCUUAAUCUUUCCUUAUUAUCCAACAUAUUCGCUUAUCCAACGUUCUGCCGGCCCGUUUAUGUUGGAUAAGUGAGACUCUACUGUACAUCCAUGGAUUUUGGUAUCUAUGAGAGGUCCUGGCAUCAAACCCCAGUGAAUAUUUAUUUAUUUAUUUACAGUAUUUAUAUUCUGCCCUUCUCACCCCAAAGGGGACUCAGGGCGGAUCACAGAACACACAUAUAGAGUGUUCCCUCCCUACUUUGCGGUUCGCUUUUUGCUCCCUCGCUGCUUUGCGUUUUUUUUCUUUUUCCUGAGCGGUGGCACAUGCGCACAAGGUGCCAGUUUCCCUUUUGCGCAUGAGCCUUCCCUCUUGUCGGGAGUCCAGCCAGGCCACUCUGGAUGCCAACAAGAGGGAGGAGCAUGCACAAAAGGGAAACUGGCAGGCCCUGGAGAGCAGGCCACCAAGAAGAAGUGCAGGAAGAAUGCUUGUGAAGGGGAGAAAAGGCCACCUAACUACUAAUAUAAUGUGUAAAUAUUAAAAUAAAUAUAGCGUCCUUACUUUGCAGAUUUUCACUUACUGUGGGUGGUCCUGGAACGUAACCUUUGCAAUGAAGGAACACUGUACAGCAAACAUUCAGUGCCGUUUAUACACUGACAAGACAGACAAUUGUACAUAGAUAGAAAGGAAUAUAUACACAGAUACCAAAGGCUCAAUGUACAUUGAAUGCAAUGCAAUAUACUGGCAGUCCUCAGUAGAGGAAAAUGUGUGUGUGUGUGUGUGUGUGGAUACAAGGAGGAUGAAUUGGGUGAUUGCUUCAUUCUACUUAAUGGUAAGAUUGGUUUUGCUCUGAAAGUAUCUUAAAAUUGACAUUGGCAUUAUUUAAAGCAAUUUGUUUUCCAUAUUAUUUUCUAUGGGCCUGUCUGCACUGGCCCAAAAUGUCAUAUGAGACCAGAUGUCACUCUUGGACAUCUAUCCAGCACCCAGAGACUUCCAGCCCAUGAUGCAGGGUAAAAUCCACAUCUCGAAGUUCAACAAUGAACUUCUUGGGAUAGGUCAUAAUUCAGAGUUGUGUCAAACACAGUCUACCCUGUUCCUAAUAAUUAUUGAAUGUAAUGAAGGAACACUACUUGGAGCACAGCUCUCUAUAAAGAUCUUAAAAGGUGGGGAGGAAUGCCCUCUAAAAUACAUAGGUCAGAAAGCAUGAAGAACGCUGGAAGUGAGAUAUGAACUUUGAAACAGAGUUUGGCAGCUACUGCAAAUGGUGCAAAAUAUGUUUCUGAUCUCCAUUUUCACUAGCUAAAGUUUCUAAACAACCUCCAAGAAAAGUCUCUCAUUCAAUUUAUUGCAAUAGUCCUGAAGUCAUAGGAUAUAGAUCACUAUUUGAAAGUUUUUGUUCUUUACCCAUCAUGCAGCAAAUAUGACUAAUAUGAAGUAUCUUUGGCCAUUGCCAUAGAUCACUGGUUCUUAACCUAGGGUCCCCAGAUGUUUUUGGCCUACAACUCCCAGAAAUCCCAGCCAGUUUACCAGCUGUUGGAUUUUUAGGUGUUGAAGGCCAAAACAAGGGACUCACAGGUUGAGAACCACCAAACUACACUAUUGUUAGAUUAUAUACUCUCUACAAUUUGGAUGUCCCAUCUUGUCUGGAUUUACUUUGACAGUUUUAAUCCUCAUCUACUUGGCCCCAGCUUCCAGGGACUGUUUCAGGACAGUGGCUGCUGUCCUUGGCUAAAGCAAUAGAUACCUGGGUUUUAUGAAAUCCAACUCCACAGCUUUAAAUGACCUUUUCUUGUGGAUUGAUACAAAUAUAGUAUGGUGCAAGAUAAACGUUUUGUGGAACCAGGGUAUGGAUCAGUAGGACUGUUAAGAGUAAAAACUGAAGAGGGUUCCUUUUUCCCUUAAUGGUUGUGUAGAAGAGGGAAUUUUACCAGGUGUUUCAUGUUACCCGAUUGCAUGACAAGCAACACCCAGUGAAAUUCCCUCUUCUACGUUGAUGGUACAACAAACACUCUUCAGCUUUCACUCUGGUACCAUUGUACCAGAUACCUUUCCAUUCACCUCAUUCUGAGAUUUCCUUUGACAAAAGUGUAACCCCCCCCCCCCCCAAUCAAGAAGAUGUACAGAAUAAACACUCAAAACAUAAAACAACACAAGGACUACAAGACACAUUCCCAACAGUCACACUAUGCAUCAGCAACAGAAAGAACAACACUGGUAGUGGUGGUGAGAGAAUAAUUUUUUGAGUAGGAUUGGGAACAUCUAAGCAAAAAAGAAUACAGGAUGGGGUCCAAGGCAAAUCUCUAUGGGAAGAAUGCUCCACAAACUUAGGCCCCAUCUACGCUGCCAUAUAAGAUCCAUGUUAUCUGCUUUGAACUGGUUUAUAUUAGUCUAAAAGGUAAAGGUUUUCCCCUGACAUUAAGUCUAGUCAUGUCCUACUCAGGGUUGGUGCUCAUCUCCAUUUCUAAGCCGAAGAACCAGCGUUGUCCAUAGACACCUCCAAGGUCAUGUGGCCAGCAUGUCUGCAUGAAGCGCCGUUACCUUCCUGAUAGAGCGGUACCUAUCUACUCACAUUUGCAUCUUUUCGAACUGCCAGGUUGGCAGAAGCUGGGGCUAUCAGCAAGAGCUCACCCUGCUCCCUGGAUUCAAACUGCCAAACUUUUAGUCAGCAAGUUCAGCAGCUCAGCAGUUUAAUCCACUGUACCAUAGAAUCAUAGAAUAGUAGAGUUGGAAGAGACCACAUGGGCCAUCUAGUCCAACCCCCUGCUAAGUCCAACCCCCGGGGGCCCAGAUGUGGGAUAGUAAAGUGCACAUGUCAAUUGUAUUUUUAGAAGUCCAAUUGUGAAUAUCAACUAGAGAAAACCCAUUGAACCAAUAGGGCUCAUGCAAACUGUCAAAUGCUGAAUUUUCUUUGGUUGUUUUUGAUCUGUUUGCAAAUCUUGGUAAAAGGUGCCAGAGCCCCCUUAGACCAGCCUCCUGCAGCGUCUGGGGCUUCUGAAAGUCAUAAUAUCUCUGGUAGGCACUCAGUUUGGGGAAGUGAAGUGAACACUACCUGCAAGAUAGGCCCGGUACAAUAGCAGUGGAACUUCUACUUAUGAGUACCCCAACUUAAGAGAGUUUUGAGUUAAGAGCUGUCGCUUGGCCCAGUUUUACUUUGACAUUUUGAGUUGUGAGCUCGUGCUAGAAGGAAUGCUAGCUGGAGAGUAUAGAGCUUUAGCGCUUCAAGGGAGCAGCCUUCUCGCCUCAUGCUCUUGUCUGCUUUGGGAGAUUGGUGUAUACUUUGCUCUUGCCCAAUUUGGGAGAUUGCUGUCCGCUUUGCUCUUGUCCGCUUUGUGGAACUUUGGGUUGAUUGAUUUUGUGUGAUAUGUUUGGCUUCAUGUAGAGAGAGAGGGAUAGAGAGCAAGGGAGGGAGGGGGGCUGGAAUGAGGGCAGUGUGAAGAAAAUGAUGCUUCUGGCUCUUCACUUGGUGCUAUGUGCUUCUUUGUCACAACUUUGCGUUUCUGCCAUUUUAAAGUUGAUCUUUCUUUUUUUAUUUUUCCAUGUGAAUGUGCAGGUUUUGCCUUGCUGUUACACUGGCUAACACACAUUUUGUUACUUCAAAUGCACUUCCUUACCACAACUUUGUGCUUCUACCAUUUUAAAGUUGAUUUUUCUUUUUUUAUUGUUUCACGUGAAUGUGCAUUUUUUAUUUAUAAACACAUAACAAAAA